CCAUUCUAUGUAUCCGAUGAAGUGGUCUGUAGCCCACGAAAGCUUAUGCUCUAAUAAAUUUGUUAGUCUCUAAGGUGCCACAAGUUCUCCUGUUCUUUUUGCGGAUACAGACUAACGUAGCUGUUACUCCGAAACAUGUAGUUUGGUCUAAUAUAUUAAUC